ensembl:lncRNA
GCAAAUGAUCAAACAAUGAUCUUUAUCUCCUGAGUACAGCAUUAAUACAAUGGACUGUAAAGUUCAUUAUUAUUGUAUUGAAGAGCUCUUAAUGGAACUUUGUUUCUCUGCGAUUUUACAUUAAGUCCUUCACAGUAACAGGAGUGAGUAACAGUAACAGUAACAGGAGUGAGUAACAGUAAACAGAGUGAGUAACAGUAACAGUAAUAACAGGAGUGAGUAACAGUAACAGUAACAGAGUGAGUAACAGUAACAGGAGUGAGUAACAGUAACAGGAGUGAGUAACAGUAACAGUAACAGGAGUGAGUAACAGUAACAGUAACAGGAGUCAGUAACAGUAACAGGAGUGAGUAACAGUAACAAAAGUGAGUAACAGUAACAGGAGUCAGUAACAGCAUCAGUAACAGGAGUGAGUAACAGUAACAGUAACAGGAGUGAGUAACAGUAACAGUAACAGGAGUGAGUAACAGUAACAGGAGUCAGUAACAGCAUCAGUAACAGGAGUGAGAGUGAGUAACAGUAACAGGAGUCAGUAACAGCAUCAGUAACAGGAGUGAGUAACAGUAACAGUAACAGGAGUGAAAAGGAGUAACAGUAACAGUAACAGUAACAGGAGUGAGUAACAGUAACAGUAAACAGAGUGAGUAACAGUAACAGGAGUGAGUAACAGUAACAGGAGUCAGUAACA